GCGCCCGUGGCUCAACUGGAUAGAGCAGCUGACUACGGAUCAGCAGGUUGGGGGUUCGAAUCCCUCCGGGCGUA
rnacentral:tRNA from 1 species